UAACGCGUGGAGAACCUGCCGUAUACUGGGGGAUAACACUUAGAAAUAGGUGCUAAUACCGCAUAAGCGCACAGCUUCGCAUGAAGCAGUGUGAAAAACUCCGGUGGUAUACGAUGGAUCCGCGUCUGAUUAGCUGGUUGGCGGGGUAACAGCCCACCAAGGCGACGAUCAGUAGCCGGCCUGAGAGGGUGAACGGCCACAUUGGGACUGAGACACGGCCCAAACUCCUACGGGAGGCAGCAGUGGGGAAUAUUGCACAAUGGGGGAAACCCUGAUGCAGCGACGCCGCGUGAGUGAAGAAGUAUUUCGGUAUGUAAAGCUCUAUCAGCAGGGAAGAAAAUGACGGUACCUGACUAAGAAGCCCCGGCUAACUACGUGCCAGCAGCCGCGGUAAUACGUAGGGGGCAAGCGUUAUCCGGAUUUACUGGGUGUAAAGGGAGCGUAGACGGCAGCGCAAGUCUGAAGUGAAAUCCCAUGGCUUAA
rnacentral:rRNA from 1 species